rnacentral:rRNA from 1 species
GAACGGGGAUGCCAUUUUUGAAGCGAUUAGCUUGCUAAGAGUGGAAAUGUUGGCAUCUUAGUGGCGGACGGGUGAGUAACGCGUGGGGAACCUGCCCUGUACAGGGGGAUAACACUUAGAAAUAGGUGCUAAUACCGCAUAAGCGCACAGUAUCGCAUGAUACAAUGUGAAAAACUCCGGUGGUACAGGAUGGACCCGCGUCUGAUUAGCUGGUUGGCGGGGUAACGGCCCACCAAGGCGACGAUCAGUAGCCAGCCUGAGAGGGUGACCGGCCACAUUGGGACUGAGACACGGCCCAAACUCCUACGGGAGGCAGCAGUGGCCCCUCUCCCCAUAAUGGGGGGAACCCUGAUCCAGCGACGCCGCGUGAGUGAAGAAGUAUUUCUGUAUCCAAAAAUCUAUCAGCAGGGAAGAAAAUGACAAAAAAAAACUUUGUAGCCCCGGCUAAGUGGGUGCCAGCAGCCGCGGUAAUACGUAGGGGGCAAGCGUUAUCCGGAUUUACUGGGUGUAAAGGGAGCGUAGACGGUGCAGCAAGUCUGAUGUGAAAGGUCGGGGCCCAACCCCGGGACUGCAUUGGAAACUGUUGAACUGGAGUACAGGAGAGGUAAGCCGAAUUCCUAGUGUAGCGGUGAAAUGCGUAGAUUUUUUAGAGAACACCAGUGGCGAAGGCGGCUUACUGGACUGUAACUGACGUUGAGGCUCGAA